rnacentral:piRNA from 1 species
AUGGCAAACUUUUAAAUGCUGAGGUAGCUGC